rnacentral:rRNA from 1 species
CUACGGGGGGCACCAGUGGGGAAUAUUGCACAAUGGAGGAAACUCUGAUGCAGCAACGCCGCGUGGAGGAUGACACUUUUCGGAGCGUAAACUCCUUUUAUAUAGGAAGAAGAUGACGGUACUAUAUGAAUAAGCGCCGGCUAACUCCGUGCCAGCAGCCGCGGUAAUACGGAGGGCGCAAGCGUUACUCGGAAUCACUGGGCGUAAAGAGCGUGUAGGCGGAUUAAAAAGUCAGAAGUGAAAUCCUAUAGCUUAACUAUAGUACUGCUUCUGAAACUCUUAAUCUAGAAUAUGGGAGAGGUAGAUGGAAUUUCUGGUGUAGGGGUAAAAUCCAUAGAGAUCAGAAGGAAUACCGAUUGCGAAGGCGAUCUACUAGAACAUUAUUGACGCUGAGACGCGAAAGCGUGGGGAGCAAACAGGAUUAGAUACCCGAGUAGUC